rnacentral:rRNA from 1 species
CCUACGGGGGGCUGCAGUGGGGAAUAUUGGACAAUGGGCGAAAGCCUGAUCCAGCCAUGCCGCGUGUGUGAAGAAGGCCUUCGGGUUGUAAAGCACUUUCAGUGGGGAAGAAAGCCUUGGGGCUAAUACCCUCGAGGAAGGACAUCACCCACAGAAGAAGCACCGGCUAACUCCGUGCCAGCAGCCGCGGUAAUACGGAGGGUGCGAGCGUUAAUCGGAAUUACUGGGCGUAAAGCGCGCGUAGGCGGUCUGAUAAGCCGGUUGUGAAAGCCCCGGGCUCAACCUGGGAACGGCAUCCGGAGCUGUCAGGCUAGAGUGCAGGAGAGGAAGGUAGAAUUCCCGGUGUAGCGGUGAAAUGCGUAGAGAUCGGGAGGAAUACCAGUGGCGAAGGCGGCCUUCUGGACUGACACUGACGCUGAGGUGCGAAAGCGUGGGUAGCAAACAGGAUUAGAUACCCCGGUAGUC